rnacentral:rRNA from 1 species
AACAAAAACAUGUCCUUUAGAUAAUAAUUUAAGGUCUAACCUGCCCAAUGAUUAAAUUAAAUGGCCGCAGUAUUUUGACUGUGCAAAGGUAGCAUAAUCAUUAGUUUUUUAAUUGAAAGCUAGAAUGAAUGGUUGAACGAGAAAAAAUCUGUCUUUAAUUAUUAAUAUGAAUUUAAUUUUUUAGUUAAAAAGCUAAAAUUAUAUUAAAAGACGAGAAGACCCUAUAGAUCUUUAUAAUAAUAUAAUAAUUUUUUUUUAGAUUUAAUUAAUUUUUUAUUAGAAUUAUUAUUUUAUUGGGGUAAUAAAAAGAUUUAAAUAAUUCUUUUUUAUUUUUAAAUAUUUAAUAAUAAAAAAAAGAUCCAUUAAUAAUGAAAAAUGAUUAAGUUACCUUAGGGAUAACAGCGUAAUUUUUUUAGAGAGUUCAUAUCGAUAAAAAAGUUUGCGACCUCGAUGUUG